rnacentral:rRNA from 1 species
UACGGGGGGAGCAAGCGUUGUUCGGAUUUACUGGGCGUAAAGGGCGCGUAGGCGGCCAUUGCAAGUCAGUUGUGAAAUCUCCGGGCUUAACCCGGAAAGGUCAACUGAUACUGCAGGGCUAGAGUGCAGAAGGGGCAACUGGAAUUCUCGGUGUAGCGGUGAAAUGCGUAGAUAUCGAGAGGAACACCUGCGGCGAAGGCGGGUUGCUGGGCUGACACUGACGCUGAGGCGCGAAAGCUAGGGGAGCGAACGGG